AGAUAGAGUUUGAUCCUGGCUCAGAUUGAACGCUGGCGGAAUGCUUUACACAUGCAAGUCGAGCGGCAGCGCGGGGGCAACCCUGGCGGCGAGCGGCGAACGGGUGAGUAACACAUCGGAACGUACCCUGUCGUGGGGGAUAACGAAUCGAAAGAUUCGCUAAUACCGCAUACGACCUGAGGGUGAAAGCGGGGGAUCGCAAGACCUCGCGCGAGAGGAGCGGCCGAUGUCGGAUUAGCUAGUUGGUGAGGUAAAGGCUCACCAAGGCGACGAUCCGUAGCGGGUCUGAGAGGACGGCCCGCCACACUGGGACUGAGACACGGCCCAGACUCCUACGGGAGGCAGCAGUGGGGAAUUUUGGACAAUGGGGGCAACCCUGAUCCAGCCAUUCCGCGUGAGUGAAGAAGGCCUUCGGGUUGUAAAGCUCUUUCGGCAGGAACGAAACGGUGGAGGCUAAUAUCCUUCAUCAAUGACGGUACCUGAAGAAGAAGCACCGGCUAACUACGUGCCAGCAGCCGCGGUAAUACGUAGGGUGCGAGCGUUAAUCGGAAUUACUGGGCGUAAAGCGUGCGCAGGCGGUUUUGUAAGACAGAUGUGAAAUCCCCGGGCUUAACCUGGGAACUGCGUUUGUGACUGCAAGACUUGAGUGCGGCAGAGGGGGGUGGAAUUCCACGUGUAGCAGUGAAAUGCGUAGAGAUGUGGAGGAACACCGAUGGCGAAGGCAGCCCCCUGGGUCGACACUGACGCUCAUGCACGAAAGCGUGGGUAGCAAACAGGAUUAGAUACCCUGGUAGUCC
rnacentral:rRNA from 1 species